rnacentral:rRNA from 1 species
CUAACAAGGAUUCCCCUAGUAACUGCGAGUGAAGCGGGAAAAGCUCAAAUUUAAAAUCUGGCGGUCUUUUGGCUGUCCGAGUUGUAAUCUAGAGAAGUGUUAUCCGCGCUGGACCGUGUACAAGUUUCCUGGAAUGGAGCAUCAUAGAGGGUGAGAAUCCCGUCUUUGACAUGGACUACCAGGGCUUUGUGAUGCGCUCUCAAAGAGUCGAGUUGUUUGGGAAUGCAGCUCAAAAUGGGUGGUAAAUUCCAUCUAAAGCUAAAUAUUGGCGAGAGACCGAUAGCGAACAAGUACCGUGAGGGAAAGAUGAAAAGAACUUUGGAAAGAGAGUUAAACAGUACGUGAAAUGCUGAAAGGGAAACGCUU